CUUGGUUUGGUUCUUGUAAGACUGAGAAUGAAGACUUCAAGCAAGAUGUUUAAUAGAGAUAAGCUCCAAGAGACAUAUCAUCGACCAAGUGGUGUUUCGAAUUCGACAAUGAGAUCUUUUACUUACAACUCAAAGACGGGUUUCCUCCGGUGACGGAAGUCGUCUACAUCGGGUCGGUAAAUGCUGGUGUUUUUCCCUCCGAGCAAGAAGACAUGUCUCUCAGUUUUUUUUCAAGGUGCGACACUAUUUUUGUAACAUGUUUUAUUUUACCUUUUUCUUUACUUUCAAGUCUCUUCAAAUAUCAGCUCUAGAGAUGUUAUUCUAUGAGAACUGUUUUAACUAAAAACUAAUGUAAAGUCUCCUGAAAUCCCUAUCACAAAAGUUUCAUCAUAAAUAUUGUUUACAGUUGAAUAACAAUAGAUUUGAUAGAGUUUUAACAAAUUGUUAAUUGAAUAACAGAGGAUUAUAAGUGACUUUUAAUAACUUUGUCCAAAUUUCAUAUUGAAUAACACUUGAUUUGAAAAUAAUUUUUAAAAUCACUAGUUGAAUAACAAGAGAUUUUAACAAAAUCUCAAAAUCUCUUAAAACUAUUGUUUCAAUACAUCCCCCAUAGUAAUUCAUAUUCUUACAGAAAACUCACUACAUAAAUCUACAAAUUUUAUUACAUAGUUUUUACUACGAAUUGAUCAAAUUAUUACUUUUGUUUUGCUUCAACUCUAACUUAACAUGUCAUCAGUCUGAACCAUUUUUAAUUGUAUUUGCAGUUUUGAUCAUAUUGCAGGUUUCACUCUCUACUCUUGAGGCUGUGGAUCAAAUAUGGAUUUGAAAACGCAACAAACAGGAAGUUCGAAAGUGUGAAGGACAAGGACAAAUCACUUAUUUAUUUCGUUACAAAAUAUUUGAUCAUUUUCGUUGAGCGUAUAUAGUUAAGAUUUGGUUUGAUAUGGUUUAGACUGGUCCUGAAUUUCUGCUGAUUCCAGUAUAAAACUACUGGAGCAGAAAGGAACUUGAACACAGCACCUAACAAUAAAUGUAAGGGUUUUGCUGCCUAACAAGAGAGUCAAAAGAAGAAGAUGUUUUCUGACUUGUGUGUGUGUUUCCAUUGACACAUUUAAUUUUCAAAAGAGUUUGCUUGUGUAAGAAAUUGGAUGUAACAUUACUGCAGCUUCUCAGGUGUGGGUCUUUUGAUUUCCCUUUUCAUCUCAAGAAUACAAAAGCAAUUAAUUUAUAGCUCAUAACAAAACUUUUUCGAGAAAUACUUUCAAAUAACAUUUUAUUCAAAAAUAGCAUACAAAAGGAAAAAUUUUUAAAAACCAUUUGUUAAAAAUUAAAAGAAAUUAUAAUACAAUACUUAGUAUUUAGGAGUUAGGAUUUAAGACAAAAUUUACGGUUUGAAGUAAUUUAAUUAUUUUGUCAUUUAAUAAAUGCUAUUUUGGAGAUUUUCUUCUUGAUGCUAUUUAAAAGGUUGUUAUUUUAGAGAUUUACCAUAUUUUUAUAUACUGAAAAUAUAAGAAAAUGACAAAUAAAUAUGUAGAAUAUAUACAUUGCUGUAAUUUGUAAUUAGUGAUAUAUUGUUUUCCUUUCGAAAUAAAAAGACUAGCUAAGAUAUUUUUAAAUGUAUAAUUUAGUGUAUAUUUUGAAAUUAAUUCAGGCAAUUAUAACAACUACAAAACAAAAUUGAUCAUACAACAUCUAAUAAAUUUAUAAUAUGCAUAAGAAUUUAACCAUAUUUUUAUUUUGAAAAAAUAAUUUAUUUUCAAUAGCAUAUUAGAAUGAUAUUUUAGAGAGACAAUAAUGAGCAGAACUUGUUUUAUUCCUAGUUUAACUUUUAUUUUUUAUUCAAGUAAAAUGGAUGAACUAAGUAAAGUUAUAAUAUUUUCCAGAAACUGAAGUAAAUGAAUGAAGUAACCGUUUUACUCUGACUAAUAAAAAAAAUAAAAAUGUACUCUAUGCAAAUCAUUUUUACUCUUUUCACCUUUUUAUUUUCCUUUUUCAUAUAUUUUCUCUAUUUUGCUCUCAAAAUUACAAAUCAGAGUCUAAAUAAAUAAAGGAACCACUGCUUAGUUCAAUUCAACUUUUACUCUUUUUUUGCUUGCACUUUUUGUUCUCUUCAUUUUACUCUCAAGUUUACCAAUCAACUUUGGUAUAUAAAAUUAUGAAAUAAAAGGUAUUACUAAAAGAAUUAUUGGUAUUAGUGGAGUUAAUGUCAGUAAAAUACUUUUACCGUAAUAGGCUCAAUAAUAGACUUAAUCAUCUUAAAUGAACUUUAUAACGGAAUUGAAUUAUACUCUAAUAAUAUUGUAUUUUAGAGUAAAAAUAGAAUGAGAAAAAAUUGUAUUCCUCUAUCAAUACUGUAAUCUUUUUUUUUUACUUUAUUAUAAAAUAAAAAUAAAAUAUAGUUAGAAUAUUUUAAUUUUAAACUCUAUUCUAAAGUGAAAAAUAUAGUAGACUUAGAAAUAAUUUUAAUGCCACUAGAACACAUAAUCUUCUCCACUGCAGGCUGCAGCUACUGAUGUACAAAAGCAGUAUGACAACAAAUCUUGACUGGCAUUAUAACAAAUUUAAACCAUUGAUGUUGCUGACAAAAAAAACCAUUAAUGUGUUAGAUGCUUAAUCUAUGAAUGUUCACAGAAUCAAACGGUACUACCGCUAACGUCCUUAAUAUGCUCACCGUACGAUACUACGUGUAGUAGGUUGUUAGUUUAUUUAUAACGAAAUUUAAUUUGGCCACAUGAGAAUCAAGGGUGAUACCUCAAUAGACUCAUGUUUUACACGCCAAAAAUAACUCAAGAUUUAGCAUGAUUACGUUUUAGCCAUUAAUUGUUUGAAUGCUAGGUUGCACAAGUUUUACAUCAUUAACUAGAAUUUAUUGAGGCUAUCACCAACAACUAACUAUAAGUCGGGAAUUUAUUAGUACUAAAGAAGAAAUCGUGUCUAAUUAACACGUUAGAAUGUUGAUUAAAUGGUAGUGGGCCCAAUGGUAGUCAAUAAUCAAUAUAUCUCAUGACCCAUACAUGCACGCUUUACGGUUUUGCCUCUUUAAAAAAAGACAGAGAAAUCAUUAUCAGUUUUUUUUCUUCUUAUCAAAGAAUUAGGUGUCUUCCUGCACCACGUACAAUAAAAAAAAUUAAAAUAUUUUUUAACAGAUAAAUAUAAAUUAUAUUUUAAAAUAAAAUGUUAUUAAUAUUGUAAAUUUUCUUUUUCGUUUCAAUAUUUUAAUAUAAAUUUGAUUUAAUUAAACAUAAAAAUUAUAUUUAAAAAUAUGCAUGUAUAUAUUUGAAAUUAUAAUCUUAGAUAGAUUUUUCUAUCUAUUUAUUUUAAUUAAAUAUUUUAAAUGAAUUUGUAAACGUUGCAUAAUUACCAAAAAUUAAAAUUAAACAAUAUUUAUAAAAUUUGUAGAUAUAUAAGAAAAAAAUAAUUUUUUGAUUAAAAUUUUAUAAUUUAAAAAUAUAUAAUUAAAUUAUAUAUCAAAAUUUAUAAUGCCAUAUUUGAAUAUAUUUAUUUUAAUGAUGAUUUUAUGAGUUAUUUCCAUAUUCUAAAAACAAUUCCAAAAAUAUAAAUUGACAUUAAAUGUAAUAUAUGAGAUAUUAUCAUAUUUUAAAAAGUUUACCAAAAAUAUAAAUUAUCAUUAAAUGCAAUUGUCCAUGUCAUAUUAAACUAUAAGACAUGCCAUCAAUUCUAAUAGAUAUGUCAUCAAUUUCAGUAAACAUGUCAUAUUUGUUUUGUGAAAUUGAUUGUAGAAUUGACAUGUGGUAAAAUCACUUCGCAAAUAUAGUCUAGGUUAUUAUAUAACCUUUCGUAAGAAAAGGAAAACUUUAACCCGUAUUCAAAUAUAGUUAAAAAAAUAUGAGAAAUAAUUAAAUUUGACUAUAAUGAGGUCUUUAUAACUUGAAUUUACUAAGGAUUCUACUGGUAAUACUGUGUAAUUACAAUAGCAAAUAACAAAAUUAAACUACAGAAUGAAAUUUUUUGAAAUCAUGAAAUAUCAAUUAUUCGAAAUAAUUAUCACUAUAUUUAGCAUAUUAUUUGGUAUAAUAUAAAAUAUAUAUGAAAAAGCUAACUUUAUCGAGUUUGGUAACAAAUAGUGACAUCCUCUCUCAAAAAUCUAUACAUUAUUAUUUUCUUGAUUUUUACACUAUUAACAUUUGGCUAAUCCACCCAACUCAACAAUCAUAUUUCAAUUCAUUCAGAAAAAAAGCCAAUCACAUUUCAAAGUAAGAGAAGAUCGAGCUGUGAUGGUUUGUCGCUACACAAUAUCCAUACGCUUGUCCAUUACAAUUUUAACACAAUUUCCAUGAUACAUUAUCCAUUUAGUAGAUUGGAAUGUACAUGAUGUAAUAUUCAUCUUGUUCACAUGGAUUACUUCGAGAAUUUGGUAUGCAUUUUUCCUAUCACAACCAUUUAAACUUAGUUACAUAUUAUGCUUGUAUAAUUCAACUUAUUCAAAAAUUACUCAUAUAACAUCGUACCUUCCAAUCCACAGAGAUAGCACAAAAAGACCAGAAAAAACUUUUCUCUAAAAUAAAAUUCUCUCUCUAACUCUCUCAGCCUUCUCCAAUUACCUCUAGUGUGCGGGCCUCUGCGCCGUUGCCAUCGGCGGUCCAUCUUUCCCUUAUUCUUCUCUUUCCUUUUUAUUUUUCCCACUGUUCUAAAAUACAGUCCGGCCAUUUGUAAGUUCUAUAUGUUGUCCAGACGCUAAACGGUCAACCACUUUAUUGUUUUUAAUAAUACGCUUGUUCACAAACCCACUGAAUCUGCAUUAAUAUUUUAAAAUUGUGACGUGCACAUUAAAAGCCUAGCUAAAGAUAGUUAACAUCGUUUGGAGUACUUGAUUUAUUAAGCUUAACAAGCUUCAUUUUUUUACAUAAACUGAUGUGGGACACACAUAUCUCACAUCCGUCAUGAAUUCUAAAACUAAAUCAGCCAAAAAUAUAUAUACACGAGCAAAAAUAUUCUAAUAUACAACCUAAUAAGAAUUAUAAAUUUGCUUAUCUUGGUGUUUAUACAAUAGAUUUGACUUUAUAUCAUAUAUAAUUAGCAUGUAUACAUUUUUCAAAAGAAAAUAUCAAUCGUAUACUCCGCAUAAAUGUCCAUAUAUACGUUUAUAUUAAUACACUAUCAAAUGUCCGACUAGCGUAUAGGUAUUUUAGAACACUGAUUUUCCCUUUCCUUUGUCUCCUCCUGAUAUUUCAAAGUCCUAGAUGUUAUCAGAUCGAAAUUUUACAGAUAUGACUAUGGGUCUGUUUCUUCUUGAAGUCUCCUUCGCCUGAAGUCUAGAUGAAAACUUUUUUUUUUUUUUUUUGGUGAGAAAUGGGUCAAGAUUUUAUGAUUUUUUUUUUACUCUCUUUGAUCUAAAAUUGGUGGUUCGUGGAGUCUUUUGGCCUCUUCUAAUGUGGCUCUGCUUGCCGGUGUGGUGCGGUGGGUGUUGUCAUGUAUCCAUCUACCUUGGUGUCUUGGUGUCGGAAAUGCUAGUGUCUGCUGACAAGUCGGCCCUCUGUGGUUUAUUUUUUACUAGGACUUGCGCCGGUUUCAACACUUCUGGCGGUGUUAGGAGGAGUUCUCUGACGGAAUGUGAAGCUUGACCUCUCUGGUUUGGCGCAUGGAGAAGUCUGGUACUCAGGCGAUGCCAAACCGUUGGUUUCUACGUUUCUUUGGACACUUGCUUCCUUGGUUUCUCUCGGUCGUGGCCCUUUUUUGGAUAUACGCUCUCCGGCUUUGGGUGGUUGAGUAUGGUUCAUUAUUGUUGUUGUCACUGAGUUACCGGUUGACUCAUUGCUUUGUGAAGGGAAUCUAUUUCUAGUUCUUAGGGAUAGGUCACGUGUGGAGCUCUCGUAGUUUCCGUGAGUCAUGGUGGCUCCGGGUCUCUGUUGUGACUGCAUGACUGGAAUAAAUCAUCUCAACGUCGGGAUGGUCUCUCGGACCUCAUCGGCAGAUUGUUCUUUUUCUCUUCUUUUUUUCAGCCUGAUUUUGUGUCAAGGGUUUGGGACUCAGGUACGGUCACUCGCCCUCCUUGAUUUGUCCAUUGCAACCUCCAGUGAACACAGUAGUUACUAUGCAGAGUAGAAAAUGGAUGUUUCGUUCUCCACACACAGAUUACCCCGGACUUGAAGACAAGGGAUCUCAUCUGAAGGAGAAGUCAGAUUCGGAGUUGCGCCCACAACUUGAAAAUGUAGUCUUGUGGAUCCAACCUAAAAAAAAGUUUGCGGUUGCACCGAAUUUUAUUCAAAUAUCCUUGUAAUCUCCCGUGUAAUAUUGCCUUUAAGGGUUUAAUCAAUGAAAAUAUAUAUUAAAAAAUAUCGUCCACAGAUUAGCAUCUAAAUAGGUUUUUAUUUUGAACUUAAUUUUUGGACACUUGAAACAUAUUUUUUGUAAUAUGUCUAUAUAUAAUAAAAUUGUCUCCGUAAAUAUAUCCCAUUGUUUUACAUUCUCACAAUAAAAAUAGCAAACAAAGACAUUUCUUAACUCAAAAGUUUAAUUUAUCGAUUGUUCGUGAUAACUGAUCCACCAUAUCCAUCCACAUGAGAAUUUCGAUUUAAUAAGUUUGAACAGUGUAUAAAAUGCCUCCUUUUGUUAGAAAACUAAAAAAAAACAUAUUAUGUUACAAACUAUUUCCAAAAGUGCUUGGGAGUGCAAUCAGGUACUAUGCAUUUCAUAAACUAACAAUUAUUUAGUGAUUAAAGUUUAUAAAAUGUUUAAAAUUAAUUAGUGGCACUUGAGGGAUAACUACAAUACAAUGAAUCUGCAGUUCGAUUUCUGUUGGGCAUCAAAAAAUUUAUGAAUAUCGGUAUCGCUGGAACCCACAAAUUAGUCGGUUAAUUUUGCUUGUCGAACAUUGUGGUUAAUUCAAAAAAAAAUUAUCCGAGAUUGAUUCUCGUUCACUUAUGCAGGAUAUACCUUCAAAACUUGUUAUUGUAAGUAUUUAUAUUGUUGCAUAGUGUAAAUAUUUUAUGUUAAAUUAUAUAAGAAAUCAUACCUUAAUUUUUUUUUCAAACCUUAAAUUCUUAGACAUAGUUUAAUUGUUUUUUGCUGAUAAAAGUUUUGUUUCUAAUCAGAAUUUCAUUUAACUAUACGUAUGUGUGAUGUAAUAUGAGUGUUUAACAACGACAUGCGCAAAUAAAAAGAUAGUACCCUACAUGCUCACCAAAUUUCUCUAAUAUCCAUAAUGCCAUUUUAUAUUGAUAUUUGAUCUUAAUCACAUCGUAGGCGGGAGUUUGAUAUACUUUUACUGUGUUUACAUUUGUACAGAUUCCAAUCUUCCUAUAACCAACAUAAACUUGCUAAUGAACGAAUGUCACUGCAGUUUGAUGGUAAUCGGAACUGCUUUAUCCCGUGAUAUGGAUAUAUAUAUAUAUAUAUACAUAUUUUUUAAUAUGAUAUAUUGUUAAAGAAUAUGAAAUGAUUCCUCAUAUUACCUUCAGACGAUUCCAACGUGCUUGUUAUUACUUUCUUUUCUUUUACCGUGCAUGCAUAUUACCUUCACAUGGUUCCAAUAUGCAAUCCCAGUUUUUUCUUACAAUUAACUCACUUAUUAAAUUAAAAAUAAAUAGAAAACAAGUGUUUUCUCCUUUGGAAGUAUCACAAAGGUCCACGCGCAUUAGAUUUGUGAGUGACAACACACACAGUGACAGAGAUACACAUCUAUAUGUGUAUAUUUUUUGUUUGACAUACACUUGUGUUUUUCUACAUGUGUGUGGAAAAUAUCAGCAUAUAUGCAAAAUAUAAAUGGGUGGUAAUAUAGUGGGGGUAGAUGGAGACUAUGGUCUAUGGUAUAUAGUACAUCUAAUUAACUACUGCCACCUGAAUCCUACAAAAAAGAAAGUUUCUGCUGUUUCUUCUCUUAUUAUAAAAUGAUCUAACAACUAAGAAAAUGGAGAAAUAAAGAUUUCAUUCUUUACCUUUGAAGAAGCCAAUAAACUAAUUUGACACCGAUUAAAAAUCAAGUUACGCAAUCAAUCAACUUUAGUUUUGAAUUCUACAAAUAAGAAACAAAGUUUCUGGUGAUUUUAUCAUCAAUUCUAAACAUCUUCUUUAUAUUAUAUAAUUUUGAUAUAUAAAUCAAUAGAAAAUAAGAUCAACAACACUAACUCAUAAUUCCUAAAUAUAAAUCGUAUUUCGAUGUGGAUUAUGAAUAUAUAUAGAUAUUGUGUUGAAUUAGUUAAUUAGUUAAGUUAUAGGCAUUUGAGAACUUAUGUUGAUUUUGAUGGUACUAGAUUUUGCAUGCGCUUGGCAAACAACCUUGGCAUGGUCUGUUUCAAAACAUUCAAUCUAUAAACUGUACUAAUCACGAAAACAUCAAAGCUUUAUGCACUUUCGGUUAAUUAUCUAAUUUUUGGUUACUUUUAUAUAAACAAGAGACUUGCAUGUUAUACGAAGAAAUCUAAUUUUCGACUAGUUAGAAACUUGGGAGUUUUUGGAUUGGAAGACUCGAAAUGAUUGGAUAAGUGUUUCAAUUCUUCUAAUAUAUGUCUUAGGUAAAAGUUAGUAGUUUGACAAUAUCGACUCAUGUCUAUAUUUAGUCAAAUAUCAAUUUUAAAUGAUGCAUAAUGCAUGGGAAACAUAUAAUACACUAUGCUUAUUGUUAAUCUUAAAUUUUAAGGCAGUGACACCUACAUGACAUCUAUAUAAUAUACUUCUAAUUUGAUAAUAAUUUCGUAAAUUACCUAACUAAGUUGAGUUAAUUUUUUUUGCUAAAGAUUACGGGGGUGAUUGGUAGUUGCUGUAGGUGCUGUCCACAGCCUUAUUUAUUUUUACAGCACUAAUUUAGAGCAAUCAAGCUUUAAUUUUUUUUUUGAAACCUCAACUCUUAAAAUAACCUACAGCUGUACAAGUGCUCUACAGAGCCAAAUAUCCAAAGCAAUUUUUUAGUGCUUCAAUAAAAUUCUACAGCAAUAAAAUCUAAAGCCACAGCAAAAAAUCUACAGAUUUUUUUUUACAGAAAAAUAUUUAAAGCUACAGCCAUUACCAAUCAGACAAUGCAUGUUGACUCCUAAUUAAUGAGUUAUUCCCCCAUAAUUAUAUUAAUUUUUUCAGAUAUAUAAGUACAGCGUAUUAAUUAGUUCAGGAAGAACUAUAACUACUAGGGAUUUUUCCGGGCUACGCCCGGGGUAUGCGUAUAAGUUUUAGUUAAAUUAAAAAAUUUACACUUAUAUUUUAAUAUAAAUUGUUUAUAUAUAUUACAAUCAAUUUUUCAACUAUUAAAUUGGUAGAAAAAUUAAAUAGAUUUAUAUUUAUUCAUUGCUUUGUAUCUAAAAAAAUUCAAUAACUCACCAUUUGGUUUUGGUUAUUACUGGAAAUCAUAUAUAAAAUGAUAAAUAAGAUGAGUAAAAGUUAACUAAACCUAGUUAUGGGUUAAAAUAAAUUUUAUCUUAUUUAUUGAGGUGUAUAAAACAAUUGUAAAUUUUACAGCUGAUUUAAACUUUGUUUUAACUACAUACGAUGUAUCCAUGAUAAUAAUUUGAUCCAAACGUAAAGAUAAUAUUAUUUUCCACACCAGUUCAUGAAAACACACUACAAAUAAAAAUAUAACUGUCCAAACCAGUUUAUAAUACAAUUUUAAUCAAACCAUCACCAAAAAAUUAUAUUUAAAUCAUAUAAACCAAUAAUGACUUUCUAAAUUAAGAAUUCUUAUUUCGUCCCAAAGAUAUUAGUCUUUACUUUUAUGUUGGGUUGUAGCUUUGAUGACUUAUUUUAAAGUUAUAAUAUGGUGUUUAAGAAAGUUAUAUAUGGUGAUGAUUUAAUUUCAUAUUUUCACAAUUUGUAAAUUACAUAUGAAGAUUGUUACUAAAUGAAUAUAAUGUGAAGAGUGGUGCUCUUGGUCUAAGUCUUUAAAUAACUCUCUAUGAUGUGUUUGAGUAUCCAUUCUACACUUUUUCAUCAUAAUUGUUACCAAUGAACUGAACAUAUAUAGCUUUAUGACAUAUGCGGUUCAAUUGAACUGAACAAACACAAAAAGACACAAAAUUAAACUGAACCAAACA